GAUGAACGCUGACAGAAUGCUUAACACAUGCAAGUCAACUGUGGCGGAAGUGUGAGUAACGAGUAAAGAACUUGCCUCACAGCUAGGGACAACCUUCGGAAACGAAUGCUAAUACCUGAUACUGUGAGAGAGCUUUGCGUCCCAUUAGCUCGUUGGAGAGGUAACGGCUCACAAAGGCGAGGAUGGGUAGCCGGCCUGAGAGGGUGAUCGGCCACAAGGGGACUGGGACACGGCCCUUGCUCAUUGGGGGGGCAGCAGUUGGUAAUAUGGGACAAUGUGCCAAAGUCUGAUGCAGCAAUUCUGUGUGUACGAUGAAUUUUUCGGAAUGUAACGUGCUUUCAUUUGGGAAGCGGUACCAACAGAAGAAGUGACGGCUAAAUACGUGCCAGCAGCCGCGGUAAUAC
rnacentral:rRNA from 1 species